AUUGAACGCUGGCGGAAUGCUUUACACAUGCAAGUCGAACGGCAGCACGGACUUCGGUCUGGUGGCGAGUGGCGAACGGGUGAGUAAUGUAUCGGAACGUGCCCAGUCGUGGGGGAUAACGUAGUGAAAAUUACGCUAAUACCGCAUACGACCUAUGGAUGAAAGCGGGGGAUCGCAAGACCUCGCGCGAUUGGAGCGGCCGAUAUCAGAUUAGGUAGUUGGUGGGGUAAAGGCCCACAAAGCCAACGAUCCGUAGCUGGUCUGAGAGGACGACCAGCCACACUGGAACUGAGACACGGGCCAGACUCCUACGGGAGGCAGCAGUGGGGAAUUUUGGACAAUGGGCUAAAGCCUGAUCCAGCCAUUCCGCGUGCAGGAUGAAGGCCCUCGGGUUGUAAACUGCUUUUGUACAGAAAGAAAAGGUUUCUACUAAUACUAGGAGCUCAUGACGGUACUGUAAGAAUAAGCACCGGCUAACUACGUGCCAGCCGCCGCAGUAA
rnacentral:rRNA from 1 species